UCUGAAAUGACCUUUUAGUUUGGUUAUGGCUAGAAAGGAUCCGUCUUGUGUAAAACUAUCGCGAGAGUUUGUGCUCAUGUAUUUACAUUCUGCAGGCAUCCUGUAUCUC